ensembl:lncRNA
CUUGGGGAAUAGGGAAAGGGCAAUUAAAACUAAACUCUGACUCGGCCCUCCAGAUGGGCUAUGGCCGGGAAGAGGUCAGGGAGCAAGGGGGCCACAGGGAUCCGGGGCGUGGGACUCGGGCCCCGGCCUGAGUCUUAGGUAUCCGUAGCGCCCUCCUUCUUCCUCCUCUUCGCUGAAUACAGCUCACGGUAAGUACUGGUUCACACAGUUCGUUCUCGGGGUGCUUACUCUCUUUCUCUUUCUCCACAGGCAACGGCUGGGACACACAGGCACAGUUAGUUCAGCUUGGUUUUGCUCUCACCUCUUCGCUGAUUACAGCUCACAGUAUCAACUUGGGCACAAUAGCACAGUUAGUUUGCUUUGAAUGGCUCUCACCUCUGGGCUGGACACAGCGUACUGUGCUAUCUCCGGAGAUCUGAAGCACGCUCACAACAUAUACUGUACUGAACUAGGCUAGGACCAGCAGUCUCCUUGUCCUCCCGCGACGAAGUGCGUGAAGGCGGGGGUUUAUCUGACAGGACACACGGCAAUACACAGCAGCCCACAGCAAUAUACAGCACCACGUCAAAAUUAUAGGUUUUCACAGCAUGAAGACUCACCCCCCACACUCAGUGUACGAAAAGGACACCCGUCUUCCUUCACUUCGCUUGGUUCGGAUCUGGCGAUGGAAUAUGCGGCCUAGCUAGUGAUGUCGUCGUUGUGACUACUUCAAUAAGUAUUCCUUCGGCUCUCCCA